AGCCCAUGGUGAGGACACUUUCUCAGUACAUCUUUAAAGCAUUCUCGUGCCUCAUAGAGUGAUUCAUUCUCUACCUGUAAAAACAUUGUAAUUUCGUUUUGCAAUU
rnacentral:snoRNA from 1 species